UUGAAUUUCUGUAAGUUAUUUAUAAUAUUCUUUUAUAAUCAAAAUUCUUAUUAAUUUUUUUAAAUUACAUCUGAAAUUUUAAGUAUUGUUCCAACAAAAAAUAUCUUUCCUUUCAAAACUCAAAUUUUUAGUCAAGCAUUUGAUUAUCCAUCAAUAUCUUCAACUUUUGGUUUUUCAUCAAAUCAUCCUUACCUGAUCAUAACCUUAUAAAACCUAACCUUCCACUUGAACUUAGGAGGAGCAAGAGAGCUAGAACUGCAAAGAGUUUCGGUGAAGAAUUUAUCACCUUCAUGAUUGAAGAAACAUCGAUAGUUUAUCAAGAUGCUAUGAGCUCUUCUGAAGCUUUUUUAGAAGGCUAUAAAUGGUGAGAUAGAAUUAAUCAUUGAAAAUAAUAUUUGGAUUCUUACUGAUUUACCUUAUAGAAGCAAAUCUCUUGGAUGUAAGUGGAUCUUUAAGAAAAAAAUUAGAGUGGAUGGAUCUG
rnacentral:lncRNA from 1 species